rnacentral:rRNA from 1 species
AACGAACGCUGGCGGCAGGCUUAACACAUGCAAGUCGAGCGCCCCGCAAGGGGAGCGGCAGACGGGUGAGUAACGCGUGGGAAUCUACCCAUCUCUACGGAAUAACGCAUGGAAACGUGUGCUAAUACCGUAUACGUCCUUCGGGAGAAAGACUUAUCGGAGAUGGAUGAGCCCGCGUUGGAUUAGCUAGUUGGUGGGGCAAAGGCCUUCCAAGGCGACGAUCCAUAGCUGGUCUGAGAGGGUGAUCAGCCACACUGGGACUGAGACACGGCCCAGAAUCCUACGGGAGGCAACAGUGGGGAAUAUUGGACAAUGGGCGCAAGCCUGAUCCAGCCAUGCCGCGUGAGUGAUGAAGGCCCUAGGGUUGUAAAGCUCUUUCACCGGUGAAGAUAAUGACGGUAACCGGAGAAGAAGCCCCGGCUAACUUCGUGCCAGCAGCCGCCGUAACAC